AGGAAAGAACUGUUAAAACAAAAGCAAAAACACCAAAUCAAAAGCAAUUUUUCAAACUCAAAAAAAGAAAAUGCAGAGGCUAUUGUCUCUCAAACGUGCUUCCUCAAACCUUCCAAAGAAACUCUCAAACACCUCCACUUCCUCUUCACUCCUUCACUCUCACCACUCUUACGAUUCCAAACCCUUCUCUUCUCUCACCAAACCCCAAAACCAGUCUCUCAGCUCUUUUCUCUCUCACCCACUUCACCACCAGGUCCACUCUCAUUCAUCAUGGCACAGUUUUUCUGCGAAAACAAUUCAUGGGUUUUUCUCAAAUCCUUUGAUUGCAAAGCAGUUCUUGUUGAGUUCCCCAAAUACCCUCUUGAGGGUCUCAACAAGCAAGAGUCUUGUAGAUUGCAGAGUCUCAUUUCUCAGAGCUCAAUUUCAAAGGCAGAGCUUUAGGUUCAAUCCAAGUUUUGAUUCCCAUAGGCGUGGCUGGAGAUCAUGGUUCCAAGGACUAACGGCUGAUGGGAUGGUUUAUGGCUUGAUUAUAGCCAAUGUUGCUGUUUAUAUGUUAUGGCAGGUUGCAGAUGGUAACUUUAUGAGGGAUAACUUUAUGAUAUCAUUGGACAAUUUUAAAAGUGGUCGAUUGCACACAUUGAUAACUUCUGCAUUCAGUCAUAGAGAUCUUGAGCAUAUUGGUUCUAACAUGAUCGGACUAUACUUCUUUGGGAUGAGUAUUGGAAGAACUUUCGGACCUGAAUUUUUGCUUAAGUUGUAUAUAGCUGGGGCACUUGGUGGUUCAAUUUUUUACUUGAUGCACAAAGCGUUUUUGGCCUCAUCAUCCAAGGGCCAGCAACUGUGGUACAGGGACCCAUCAAAGACACCAGGAUUGGGGGCAAGUGGGGCUGUGAAUGCUAUCAUGCUGCUUAAUAUAUUCCUCUUUCCAAAAGCUACCCUGUACUUUGACUUCAUCAUACCAGUCCCUGCCUUCUUACUGGGGAUCUUUCUAAUUGGAAAAGAUGUGUUGAGAAUAUUAGAGGGAGAUAGUCAUAUCUCAGGAUCCGCACAUUUGGGGGGUGCUGCAGUUGCUGCCAUAGCCUGGGCACGAAUUCGAAAAGGAAGGUUCUAAAUCUUUCAGUGAUUCUACUAGACUACAAACUUCUGAUUCCGGUUACUCAAGGGCAAAAUAUGGGAUUUCAUCAAUAAGUCAAGGGCUAAUUAUGUUUGCUAUCACUUAAACAAUGGUCAAACUUGAGGAUCACAUGACAAGUUUUUCAUCCUUGGUUCACUUGUGAUUUGCUGCACCAAAAAGAGAUCACAUUCUGGUUUGGAUAUGUUUACUGGUAUCUAGUGUGCUUAAAUCAUCUUGAUAUCAAGGUUGUUGCUACCUGAACAAAUGAUUCAUUCAGUUUAAACUAAUGGACCUAAAACAAGAGGGUCUUUGGGAAAUCCAUAUGAGUCAGACCAGUUAUAAUCAAGGCACGCAUUGUAUGACAGUGCAGCUUCAUAGUUUGAAUUCCUGA